rnacentral:rRNA from 1 species
UACGAGGGGGGCGAGCGUUGUUCGGAAUUAUUGGGCGUAAAGGGUGCGUAGGCGGUUUGGUAAGUCUGAUGUGAAAUCUAUGGGCUCAACUCAUAGUCUGCAUCGGAAACUGCCGGGCUUGAGUAUGGGAGAGGUGAGUGGAAUUCCUGGUGUAGCGGUGAAAUGCGUAGAUAUCGGGAGGAACACCAGUGGCGAAGGCGAAUCACCUGGGGUUGUUCUGACGCUGAGGAGCGAAAGCUAGGGGAGCAAACGGG